AGACAUUUCGCGCUCAUUCACUUCCGCCUCCCUCUCGGUCGCAACUGUUUUGCAUCUUGUUUCAUCGCGUUUCACGAUGCCCCGCUUCAACUACGAUUCCACCACGGCCGUCUGCAUCGCCACGGAAUAGGAGCUUUCUCGGUCAACCAAAUUGAAGAAGAGAUGUUAUGAUAUCGCUGAAGGGCGAACUGAAGGAUAGACGUGGACGACUGUUGGGGGGACACGCCAGCCUGUGGGCUGAUGUUGCUGAUGCUGUGGGAAACACCGGCGGACGUCUUGGGGAAGGUAACGACAUCGAAGCGAAGAGUGUGGAGUUCGACAGCCGCAUGGCUGCGGGCGUGAAGUUGAGGGGGAAGAGACCG